rnacentral:rRNA from 1 species
GCGAAGAACCUUACCGGGAUUUGACAUCCUACUAGCGAAGCAGAGAUGCAUUAGGUGCCCUUCGGGGAAAGUAGAGACAGGUGGUGCAUGGUUGUCGUCAGCUCGUGUCGUGAGAUGUUUGGGUUAAGUCCCGCAACGAGCGCAACCCUAUUGUUAGUUGCUACGCAAGAGCACUCUAGCGAGACUGCCGUUGACAAAACGGAGGAAGGCGGGGACGACGUCAAAUCAUCAUGCCCCUUAUGUCCCGGGCUACACACGUAAUACAAUGGCGGAUAACAAAGGGAAGCAAAGCCGCGAGGUGGAGCAAAUCCCCAAAAUUCGUCUCAGUUCGGAUUGCAGGCUGCAACUCGCCUGCAUGAAGUUGGAAUUGCUAGUAAUCGUAGAUCAGCAUGCUACGGUGAAUACGUUCCCGGGCCUUGUACACAC